CCUGUCCCUCUGCCUGGCUGUUCUGUCCAGAUUGAGGAACCCUUCCCUGGCUGAGGAUCACUUCCAAAAUCCUGUUUACUUGAUGUGGUUUUCUAUUAGAAGUGGCUUUGUAUGAAACCACAGAACAGAGGAACAAAUGAAGGUCCCAAGUGGUCUCUUCUCACUCAUCUUAGAGCUUGUCAUAGAGGUCCCAUUGGGGUUGGGGCCAGAAAUCCCUCCCUCCACUUAGAAACUAAGGGAAAGAAAGCACUGUUUCCUAAUGAGCCUUGCAGUGAUGAGGAUCAUUGAGAGGAGCUGAUUUGAGAGGAGAAAAGGGGUGGCAGAAGGAUCGGGUUGCAUUUUCCUUCACCUCCAUCACAACUCAAACUUGA